rnacentral:snRNA from 1 species
UUCGGUUCCGUUACAAGUG